rnacentral:rRNA from 1 species
UACGUAGGGUCCGAGCGUUGUCCGGAAUUAUUGGGCGUAAAGAGCUCGUAGGCGGUCUGUUACGUCGGCUGUGAAAACCUGGGGCUCAACCCCGGGCCUGCAGCCGAUACGGGCAGACUAGAGUGCGGUAGGGGAGACUGGAAUUCCUGGUGUAGCGGUGAAAUGCGCAGAUAUCAGGAGGAACACCGGUGGCGAAGGCGGGUCUCUGGGCCGAUACUGACGCUGAGGAGCGAAAGCGUGGGGAGCGAACAGG